UACGUAGGGCGCAAGCGUUGUCCGGAAUUAUUGGACGUAAAAGAGCUCGUAGGCGGCUUGUCACGUCAUUGUGAAAGCCCGAGGCUUAACCUCGGGUCUGCAGUCGAUACGGGCUAGCUAGAGUGUGGUAGGGGAGAUCGGAAUUCCUGGUGUAGCGGUGAAAUGCGCAGAUAUCAGGAGGAACACCGGUGGCGAAGGCGGAUCUCUGGGCCAUUACUGACGUGAGGAGCGAAAGCGUGGGGAGCGAACAGG
rnacentral:rRNA from 1 species